GUAGUCAUAUGCUUGUCUCAAAGAUUAAGCCAUGCGUGUCUCAGUGCAAGCUAUACUAAAGUGAAACCGCGAAUGGCUCAUUAAAUCAGUUAUGGUUCCUUAGAUGAAAGACAGUUACUUGGAUAACUGUGGUAAUUCUAGAGCUAAUACAUGCAACUCUGUCCCGACCGGAGACGGAAGGGACGCUUUUAUUAGAUCAAAACCAAUCGGUCCUUCGGGUCCGUUUGCCUUGGUGACUCUGAAUAAAUUGUGGCAGAUCGCACGGUCUACGCACCGGCGACGCAUCUUUCAAAUGUCUGCCUUAUCAACUGUCGAUGGUAGGUUUUGCGCCUACCAUGGUUGCAACGGGUAACGGGGAAU
rnacentral:rRNA from 1 species